rfam:Salmonella enterica subsp. enterica serovar Typhimurium str. LT2, complete genome.
GGUUAAGCGACUAAGCGUACACGGUGGAUGCCCUGGCAGUCAGAGGCGAUGAAGGGCGUGCUAAUCUGCGAUAAGCGCCGGUAAGGUGAUAUGAACCGUUAUAACCGGCGAUACCCGAAUGGGGAAACCCAGUGUGAUUCGUCACACUAUCAUUAACUGAAUCCAUAGGUUAAUGAGGCGAACCGGGGGAACUGAAACAUCUAAGUACCCCGAGGAAAAGAAAUCAACCGAGAUUCCCCCAGUAGCGGCGAGCGAACGGGGAGGAGCCCAGAGCCUGAAUCAGCAUGUGUGUUAGUGGAAGCGUCUGGAAAGGUGCGCGAUACAGGGUGACAGCCCCGUACACAAAAGCGCAUGUGCUGUGAGCUCGAUGAGUAGGGCGGGACACGUGGUAUCCUGUCUGAAUAUGGGGGGACCAUCCUCCAAGGCUAAAUACUCCUGACUGACCGAUAGUGAACCAGUACCGUGAGGGAAAGGCGAAAAGAACCCCGGCGAGGGGAGUGAAAAAGAACCUGAAACCGUGUACGUACAAGCAGUGGGAGCACAGGUUUACCUGUGUGACUGCGUACCUUUUGUAUAAUGGGUCAGCGACUUAUAUUCUGUAGCAAGGUUAACCGUAUAGGGGAGCCGGAGGGAAACCGAGUCUUAACCGGGCGUUAAGUUGCAGGGUAUAGACCCGAAACCCGGUGAUCUAGCCAUGGGCAGGUUGAAGGUUGGGUAACACUAACUGGAGGACCGAACCGACUAAUGUUGAAAAAUUAGCGGAUGACCUGUGGCUGGGGGUGAAAGGCCAAUCAAACCGGGAGAUAGCUGGUUCUCCCCGAAAGCUAUUUAGGUAGCGCCUCGUGAAUUCAUCUCCGGGGGUAGAGCACUGUUUCGGCUAGGGGGCCAUCCCGGCUUACCAACCCGAUGCAAACUGCGAAUACCGGAGAAUGUUAUCACGGGAGACACACGGCGGGUGCUAACGUCCGUCGUGAAGAGGGAAACAACCCAGACCGCCAGCUAAGGUCCCAAAGUCAUGGUUAAGUGGGAAACGAUGUGGGAAGGCCCAGACAGCCAGGAUGUUGGCUUAGAAGCAGCCAUCAUUUAAAGAAAGCGUAAUAGCUCACUGGUCGAGUCGGCCUGCGCGGAAGAUGUAACGGGGCUAAACCAUGCACCGAAGCUGCGGCAGCGAACGUAUCACCCAAGACAACUUUACGGAGUUGACGAUUGACGGAGCGAAGCGACGUCAAAGCGUUCAUUAAAGUCGAGUUGGCUUAGGGAUACGUUCGUUGGGUAGGGGAGCGUUCUGUAAGCCUGUGAAGGUGUGUCGUGAGGCAUGCUGGAGGUAUCAGAAGUGCGAAUGCUGACAUAAGUAACGAUAAAGCGGGUGAAAAGCCCGCUCGCCGGAAGACCAAGGGUUCCUGUCCAACGUUAAUCGGGGCAGGGUGAGUCGACCCCUAAGGCGAGGCCGAAAGGCGUAGUCGAUGGGAAACGGGUUAAUAUUCCCGUACUUGGUGUUACUGCGAAGGGGGGACGGAGAAGGCUAUGUUGGCCGGGCGACGGUUGUCCCGGUUUAAGCGUGUAGGUGUGUGUUCCAGGUAAAUCCGGUUCACUUUAACACUGAGGCGUGACGACGAGGCACUACGGUGCUGAAGCAACAAAUGCCCUGCUUCCAGGAAAAGCCUCUAAGCAUCAGGUAACACGAAAUCGUACCCCAAACCGACACAGGUGGUCAGGUAGAGAAUACCAAGGCGCUUGAGAGAACUCGGGUGAAGGAACUAGGCAAAAUGGUGCCGUAACUUCGGGAGAAGGCACGCUGACACGUAGGUGAAGUGAUUUACUCAUGGAGCUGAAGUCAGUCGAAGAUACCAGCUGGCUGCAACUGUUUAUUAAAAACACAGCACUGUGCAAACACGAAAGUGGACGUAUACGGUGUGACGCCUGCCCGGUGCCGGAAGGUUAAUUGAUGGGGUCAGCGUAAGCGAAGCUCCUGAUCGAAGCCCCGGUAAACGGCGGCCGUAACUAUAACGGUCCUAAGGUAGCGAAAUUCCUUGUCGGGUAAGUUCCGACCUGCACGAAUGGCGUAAUGAUGGCCAGGCUGUCUCCACCCGAGACUCAGUGAAAUUGAACUCGCUGUGAAGAUGCAGUGUACCCGCGGCAAGACGGAAAGACCCCGUGAACCUUUACUAUAGCUUGACACUGAACAUUGAGCCUUGAUGUGUAGGAUAGGUGGGAGGCUUUGAAGUGUGGACGCCAGUCUGCAUGGAGCCGACCUUGAAAUACCACCCUUUAAUGUUUGAUGUUCUAACGUGGACCCGUAAUCCGGGUUGCGGACAGUGUCUGGUGGGUAGUUUGACUGGGGCGGUCUCCUCCUAAAGAGUAACGGAGGAGCACGAAGGUUGGCUAAUCCUGGUCGGACAUCAGGAGGUUAGUGCAAUGGCAUAAGCCAGCUUGACUGCGAGCGUGACGGCGCGAGCAGGUGCGAAAGCAGGUCAUAGUGAUCCGGUGGUUCUGAAUGGAAGGGCCAUCGCUCAACGGAUAAAAGGUACUCCGGGGAUAACAGGCUGAUACCGCCCAAGAGUUCAUAUCGACGGCGGUGUUUGGCACCUCGAUGUCGGCUCAUCACAUCCUGGGGCUGAAGUAGGUCCCAAGGGUAUGGCUGUUCGCCAUUUAAAGUGGUACGCGAGCUGGGUUUAGAACGUCGUGAGACAGUUCGGUCCCUAUCUGCCGUGGGCGCUGGAGAACUGAGGGGGGCUGCUCCUAGUACGAGAGGACCGGAGUGGACGCAUCACUGGUGUUCGGGUUGUCAUGCCAAUGGCACUGCCCGGUAGCUAAAUGCGGAAGAGAUAAGUGCUGAAAGCAUCUAAGCACGAAACUUGCCCCGAGAUGAGUUCUCCCUGAGACUUAGAGUCUCCUGAAGGAACGUUGAAGACGACGACGUUGAUAGGCCGGGUGUGUAAGCGCAGCGAUGCGUUGAGCUAACCGGUACUAAUGAACCGUGAGGCUUAACCUU